AUGCAUGCAUGUACCUGGCCUAUUGAUUUCUUCACGUCCCACAUCCUGGGAGGCUACGCCAUGUAUGCGGGCAUUGUAGCCCACGGUCUGCUCGAUGAAGCUUGCGGGGCUGGCUCGGGGAAGACUCGGGCGCUCGAUGUAGUUCGUUCGGAUGGCUCGGGGAAGACUUGUAUGGCUCGGCGAUGUGUUGGCUGCCGAACGGCGUCGCCGCACGGAUCUGCUGGAUUUUCUUCAUCGGAUGGGAUCAAUCUAAUACAAAUUUAUUUGGCUACUAAAAAAGAAAUCAAUCUAACUGAACACCGAAAAUUGGAAUUGACCUAA
rnacentral:rRNA from 1 species